GAUAGGAGGGUGACAUUUCAGAAUCCCGAUCUGCUGUUGAAAGACGCAAGGAAGCAGGUGCCCACUUGGGUUGGUUGUUUCCUCUGUCGCUUUCAAGGCAGCGCCCACUUCCAAUUUCAUCAGCAAGCAAUUGCAUUUUAGGUCUGGAAAUUCAACCAAGACCCAAGAAAGGCUCCAGGCGACUCAUGCGGCUACAAAUGAUUCAUGAAGCUAAGCCUCAAUGAAGAUUCAAGCUUCUGAUCUGGAAUGACAACACAAGAAGAUUUCAAAUUUCAACAUUGAAAAAUGAAAUUUGGUACACGAAUAAAAAUGUAUUGAAAUAUUGUUUGGGGAAUUUUCGGGAUUGCUUUUCAUAUCACGGUUCAACCAUGGUGUGUAGAAGGAUGUCACCUUUCUUAUCAUAAAGCUUGAUGUUUGAGGGUGAUUAU
rnacentral:lncRNA from 1 species